UACGAAGGGGGGCUAGCGUUGCUCGGAUUGACUGGGCGUAAAGGGCGCGUAGGCGGUUCGUACAGUCAGACGUGAAAAUUCCUGGGCUCAACCUGGGGGCUGCGUUUGAUACGUGCGGACUUGAGUGCGGAAGAGGGUCGUGGAAUUCCCAGUGUAGAGGUGAAAUUCGUAGAUAUUGGGAAGAACACCGGUGGCGAAGGCGGCGACCUGGUCCGAUACUGACGCUGAGGCGCGAAAGCGUGGGGAGCAAACAGG
rnacentral:rRNA from 1 species